UACGUAGGCAGCGAGCGUUGUUCGGAAUUACUGGGCGUAAAGAGUGUGUAGGCGGUGCUCUAAGUUUGGUGUGAAAUCUCCCGGCUCAACUGGGAGGGUGCGCCGAAAACUGGAAUGCUUGAACAUGGGAGAGGAAAGCGGAAUUCCUGGUGUAGCGGUGAAAUGCGUAGAUAAUCAGGAGGAACACCUGCGGUGUAGACGGCUUUCUGGACCAUUGUUGACGCUGAGACACGAAAGCGUGGGUAGCAAACAGG
rnacentral:rRNA from 1 species